rnacentral:rRNA from 1 species
UACGGGAGGCAGCAGUGGGGAAUAUUGCACAAUGGGCGCAAGCCUGAUGCAGCCAUGCCGCGUGUAUGAAGAAGGCCUUCGGGUUGUAAAGUACUUUCAGCGGGGAGGAAGGCGAUGCGGUUAAUAACCGCGUCGAUUGACGUUACCCGCAGAAGAAGCACCGGCUAACUCCGUGCCAGCAGCCGCGGUAAUACGGAGGGUGCAAGCGUUAAUCGGAAUUACUGGGCGUAAAGCGCACGCAGGCGGUCUGUUAAGUCAGAUGUGAAAUCCCCGGGCUUAACCUGGGAACUGCAUUUUGAAACUGGCAGGCUUGAGUCUUGUAGAGGGGGUAGAAUUCCAGGUGUAGCGGUGAAAUGCGUAGAGAUCUGGAGGAAUACCGGUGGCGAAGGCGGCCCCUGGACAAAGCUGACGCUCAGGUGCGAAAGCGUGGGGAGCAAACAGGAUUAGAUACC